rnacentral:rRNA from 1 species
AGGGGGCAAGCGUUGUCCGGAUUUACUGGGUGUAAAGGGCGCGCAGGCGGAAUAUCAAGUCAGAGGUGAAAUCCUACAGCUUAACUGUAGAACUGCCUUUGAUACUGUUAUUCUUGAGUUCGGGAGAGAGAGACGGAAUUCCAGGUGUAGUGGUGAAAUACGUAGAUAUCUGGAAGAACACCAGUUGCGAAGGCGGUCUCUUGGUCCGAUACUGACGCUGAGGCGCGAAAGCGUGGGGAGCAAACAGGAUUAGAUACCCUGGUAGUCCACGCUGUAAACGAUGAAUACUAGGUGUCGGCUCUUAAAGGGUCUGAAGCUAACGCAUUAAGUAAUCCACCUGGGGAGUACGGUCGCAAGGUUGAAACUCAAAGGAAUUGACGGGGGCCCGCACAAGCGGUGGAGCAUGUGGUUUAAUUCGAUGCAACGCGAAGAACCUUACCAGGUCUUGACAUCCCUCUGACCGGUCCGUAACGGGACCUUUCCUUCGGGACAGUAGUACAGGUGGUGCAUGGUUGUCGUCAGCUCGUGUCGUGAGAUGUUGGGUUAAGUCCCGCAACGAGCGCAACCCUUAUCUUUAGUAGCCAGCACGUAACGGUGGGAACUCUAGAGAGACUGCCGAGGAUAACUCGGAGGAAGGUGGGGAUGACGUCAAAUCAUCAUGCCCCUUAUGAUCUGGGCUACACACGUGCUACAAUGGCGAUAACAAAGGGAAGCAAAAGGGUGACCUCUAGCAAACCCCAGAAAAGUCGUCCCAGUUCGGAUUGUAGUCUGCAACUCGACUACAUGAAGUUGGAAUCGCUAGUAAUCGCGAAUCAGAAUGUCGCGGUGAAUACGUUCCCGGGUCUUGUACACACCGCCCGUCACACCAUGGGAGUUGGAAGCGCCCGAAGCCAGUGACUCAACCGCAAGGAGAGAGCUGUCGAAGGUGAAGCCAAUGACUGGGGUGAAGUCGUAACAAGGUAACC